GGAAGAAGUUAGUCGCCAUCUUGGAUCAUCGGCUAACAUAAUUAUUGACUGAAGUGAGUUUGUAACAUGUUUGGCUGCGCUCCAACAGCGUUAUCGUGUUUACACACAGCUUUCCUUUAGGUUUCAUGUCUCAGACUAUCACUGCAAAGUUUAUCUGACCUCUGAUUUGGCUGAGUGGAUUUUCGUCAAGGAGCACAUCGCUGGAAAGAUGCCAGUGAAGUUUCGCAAGACAGCUAAAAGGACAGACUGGAGAGCUCUGAGUGUACUGGGUUAAAGGCCAGAGUCAUUGUCAGCCCGUAUGAGAUUUGUUGAAUUUUUGACUCAGUAACCACAACUGCAGAGAAGAGAUGUACUGCUUCAGCUGCAGAUGAAGACAUUUUGUCAUUGUUUUGGAAAUGUGAAAAAUUGUGUCCUGCUGGGAAGCCUAUAUUUUUUUAACAACCAAACAUAACAGUGGUCUCUUGUUGGCAAUUGGGCCAAACCUAUCCACCUUGGUUUUUCAAACAAAUCAGGAUAAUUAUGAAGAACAGGUUUUAGGUUGAAAUUCCUUGAAAAAUAAACCAUUCUUGACUGAAAGAAUA
rnacentral:lncRNA from 1 species